GGUGGGAGGACGGGGCAGGAGAGGCUUCACCAGGGGACCCUGACCCCAAGCCCCCCUGAGGCCUCCGCUCCCCCCCAGUUCCUCCGCUUCUUCUUCAACCCGUUAAACCUGUGCUCGUGGAUCAAGGACGAGUGGAGCCUCGUCUACGACGGGUCCCACGUGAAGGAGAGCUGGAUCGACCCGCUGAUGAGAUGGCAGCCGGAGGUCCAGAAGCUCAUCCGCCAACUGCAGGAGGCGUUGGCCAGCCAGCACCUGCCUCAGAAGACCAAGGCCAAGGUCACGGAGCCCCGGGGCUUCAACCUGACCCUCCCCAAGCCCCGCGCCCUCCCCAUGCCCGAGCCAGUGCCCAGCUUGGCCAAGCCUAGACCGGCGGGACCAGACCCAGCCUCCUGUGUGGACCCCACCCCACCCACGCCUCCACGGGAAGGCAGCCCAGCCGGCCAGCGCCUGCCCAGGAGACCCCUCCACUGCGGUCUCAGCGCUGCUCACACCUGCCCGGAGGCGGAGCUUGGAGCCCACCUGUAAGCACGUUCGCCUCCCCACGCCCAGUGGAUAUACUCGUGUAGACCACCGACCUCCUCCUCCGGCCACGGGCAGGCAGUGACACCUGCCUACGUGAGCCUGUCCCACCGCAGGGCCUCUGCUCCUCUGUCGUGUCUGCCUGGAGCCCCUUCCCCUCCCUCUCUCUCUCUGCCUCACUGACUUCUUGUAUCAGUCAGAAUGCUUUAUACUGCAAGUAACAAAAAAGGCAAUUCAAGUGACCUAAGCAAUAGAAGACUUACUGCUCUCACAGCUGAAGUGGGGUAGGCUUCAGCACAGCUUGAUCAGGGUUCCAGUUCUGCUUCUCCAAGGUUCUCUCCACCCCUCUAGAGGUGAACUUCAUCUUUUGGGCAAUUUCUCUUAUUGUAGCAAAAAAUCCAACCCUCAUACCCACACUCUAGGACAUGAAGACAUCUAGGGCCAAGAGUAUUUUGGUGAAGUCUUACUGGGGAUCAUUGUGACCAUGGCACAGUGUCCCAGUUGGCUGUGGGCUCUACCCUGAGUGCCUGGGGGGGCUCAGCUACCCAGAACUAAUCCGGUUCCCCAAAAGAACUAAGGACAGUAUGGAAAGAUCAAGUGAUUGUGCAGGGAAGUCCCCGAGGCCUGCCCCACUCCCUUCAUCUCAUUACAAUCUCUCUUCCUAGGGAGACUUUCCAAGAACCCCUCAGCUGAGUCAGGUCCCUCACUUAGCUUCCUCCUCUUCAAUUCCGGCUCCUUUUCUCUACACCAUCAAUUAGAGUUUAUAGUUGUUUACUUAUUUAUGGUCUGUUUAUUGUCUGUCUGUACCACAAGUCCUCAUCCAGCUGAUUUGCCCUGAAUUCACAAUACCUGGCACAGUCUUGGCUUAGAGCACAAACUCAGCAAAUGGAUGGAUGAAUGGAUGAUGGGUGAAUGGAUGAAUGGAUGGGUGAAUGGAUGGCCAGAUUGAAGGAUAAUUGGAUAGAUGAUUGGGUGGAGAAAUGAAUAGAUGGAUGGAUGAAUGGAUGGAUGGAUGGAUGGAUGGAUGAAUAGAUGGAGAGUUGGACAGGUGCUUGGAUGGAAUGGAUGGAUGGAUGGAUAAUUGUAUGGAUAGAUAAAUGUAUGGACAGAUGGAUGGAUGAGUGGAUAGGUGGAUAAGUGGAUGGAUAGAUGGAUAGAUGGACAGAUGAAUGAGUGGAUGGAUGGAUGAGUGUAUGUAUGGAUACAUAGAUAAAUGGACAGUUGGAUAGAUGAUUGGAUGGAAGGGUGAAUGGUUGGCCAGAUUGAGUGAUAAUUAGAUAGAUGAUUGGAUGGAUAGAUGGAUGGAUGGAUUGAUGGAUCAAUGGAUGGAUAGAUGGAUUGAUGGAUUGAUGGAUGGAUUAAUGGAUGGAGGAUGGAUGGAUAAUUGUAUGAAGAGAUAAAUAGAUGGACAGAUGGAUAGUGGAUGGAUGGAUAAUGAUAUGUUGAUGGAUAAAUGGAUGGGUAGAUUGAUGAUUGGAUGGAAAGGUGAAUGGGUGGAUGGAUGGAUAAAUGGAUGGACAGAUGGAUAAUGGGUGGGUGGGUGGAUGGGUGAGUGGAUGAGUGGGUGGAUGGAUGAGUGGGUGGAUGGAUGGAUAAUUGUAUGUAAAUGGAUAAAUGGAUGGACAGGUGGGUGGACAGAUGGAUGGAUAGAUGGAUGGAUGAUGAGGGCCUUGUUGCUGAGCAACCCCACAGUUACCCCAUCUGCAGGACCUUCAGCAUUUCAGGUCCCGCUCAUCCUGUCAACUGCACCUCUCUCUGCCUGUCUCUGCCUGGCCCAGCCUCUGUCUGGCCCCUUGCCAUGCCAUACCCUGUUUCAUAGCAGUGUGCUCCCCAGCAGGAGCUGUGGGACAACGGUGAUCACUCCGCUCCCGUGGGGUCUGUGACGUGGCUGUGCUGGGACCUCAGGCUCAUUCUCUUGACCCUCCCUGCCAGACCCAUCUAACACCCCUUCCCCCUGCUUGGUUCAGGGCCCACUCCAAUCACUCAUUCAUUCAUUCAACAAACAUUUACAGAAUGUCUCCCCUUGUGAAAUGCCUUCUAGUGGGAGAUGCAGACAAGAGAUGGGAUAAGUAAAAUGUGUAGGAUGCUUGUGGGUGAUAGUGCUGAGGAAACAAAAAAAAAAUACGUGAAGUGGGGAUAAGAAGCGUUGGAGGGGUUCCAGCGCUGGGUAGGGGACCAAGCAA
rnacentral:lncRNA from 1 species